UAAUACGGGGGGUGCGAGCGUUGUCCGGAAUCACUGGGCGUAAAGGGCGCGUAGGUGGUUUGAUAAGGGUGUGGUGAAAGUCCGGGGCUCAACCCCGGAUCUGCCGUGCCGACUGUCAAACUCGAGGGCUGUAGAGGCAGGCGGAAUUCCGGGUGUAGCGGUGGAAUGCGUAGAGAUCCGGAGGAAGACCGGUGGCGAAGGCGGCCUGCUGGGCAGUUUCUGACACUGAUGCGCGACAGCGUGGGGAGCAAACAGGAUUAGAUACCCUGGUAGUC
rnacentral:rRNA from 1 species